UACGGGGGGAGCAAGCGUUGUUCGGAUUUACUGGGCGUAAAGGGCGCGUAGGCGGCCACCGCAAGUCAAUUGUGAAAUCUCCGGGCUUAACUCGGAAAGGUCAACUGAUACUGCGGGGCUAGAGUGCGGAAGGGGCAACUGGAAUUCUCGGUGUAGCGGUGAAAUGCGUAGAUAUCAGGAGGAACACCGGUGGCGAAGGCGGCCCUCUGGACGGUGACUGACGCUGAGACGCGAAAGCGUGGGGAGCAAACAGG
rnacentral:rRNA from 1 species